UACAGAGGAGCCAAGCGUUGUCCGGAUUGACUGGGCGUAAAGCGCACGCAGGCGGAUGCGCGCGUGGGGUGUGAAAUCUGGCCGCUUAACGGCCAGGCGCCAUCCCAUACGGCGCGUCUGGAGUGAUGCAGAGGUCGGUGGAAUUGCCGGUGUAGUGGUGAAAUGCGUAGAGAUCGGCAGGAACACCCAGGGGGAAACCAGUGGACUGGGCAUCGGCUGACGCUCAGGUGCGAAAGCGUGGGGAGCGAACCGG
rnacentral:rRNA from 1 species